GUUUUCUAAAAUUUGUUAAAAUAUAACACACACGAAGUCUGUUGAGCUAAAACAAUAAUAAUAUUAGUAUAUAGUUGUAAUUGUGGUAAUAAUUAACUUAAUAUAUUUUUUUAGGGGUGAUAGGCCUAUCAAAUCAGACGAUAUCUUGAUUGCUAGGAAAUAUAUUUAGUAUAAUAAUCAAACUAAAAGUGUUAAGGCUUUGAGUUUUCAAAAUUCUUUUUUAUUAUUCUAAAUUAUUUAUUUAAUAGUUAUAAUAUUCAUGUAAGUAACAUAUCUAAAUUUUUUGAAUUUGUACAGUACUAGCUUUUCUUUCCUAAUAUAUUUCAAAAAUGAAUAAUGAAAAUAUUAGUAUUAAGAUAAAAAUAAAGUAAGGAACUCGGCAAAAAUUUUUCUCGACUGUUUACCAAAAACAUGCUCUAAGGAAUAUAUUUAGAGUUUUCCCUGCUCAAUGAAAUUUAAAUAGCCGCAGUACUUUGACUGUGCAAAGGUAGCAUAAUCAGUUGGCUUAUAAUUGAAGUCUAGUAUGAAUGGGCGAUCGGGAAAUUUCUGUCUCAAAUAAUAUUGAAUUAAAUUUACUUAGUAAGUGAAAAUUCUUACAAAUUAAAUGAAAGACGAGAAGACCCUAGAAAUUUUAUAUAAAAACUUUUCUGAUACUUAUUUUGUUGGGGCGACAGAGUAACAAUAUAAACUUACUCACAAUACAGGCUACUAUUAAGUCGUAUGAAUAAAUUACUCUAGGGAUAACAGCAUAAUUUAUUAUUAAGAUUUUGACCUCGAUGUUGGACUAGGGAAAAAUUUACUUAGAAGGUAAAUUAGUAGGCUCUGUUCGAGCUUUAUCCCCUACAUGAUCUGAGUUCAGACCGG
rnacentral:rRNA from 1 species